UGCAUCUUCGCCAUGAUGGACAAGAACGCGGAUGGGAAGCUGACACUGCAGGAGUUCCAGGAGGGCUCCAAGGCAGACCCCUCCAUUGUACAGGCGCUCUCUCUUUACGACGGACUGGUGUAGAUGCCACAGCACUGCCCCAAGGUGGGUGAGAGGUGAUCCCCAGUGUCAUCUCUCACACAGUGAGGUGACGAGUGUUGUUGGAGCCGCCUGUCUGAGGACUCAUGGGAAACGCACGGGAUUGUGGGAAACCACCCGACUGGCCUCUUGUCCAUCGUCAUGGCUACGAACUUUGGCCCUCAUUUACUCACCAGGUGGAGGACGCAUCCAGACCAGACCGUGUUUAUUCUGGAUAUGUGUGUGUAUGGUGUGUGUGAGAGAGAGUGAAUGAGUGAGAGAGAGAGAGGGAGAGAGAGAGAGAGGGAGGGAGGGAGACAGAGAAAGAGAGAGAGAGAGAGAGAGAGAGGGAGAAAGGGAGAGAGAGAGAGAAAGAGAGAGAGGGAGAGAGACAGAGAGAGAGAUUGUACACUAAGACAUCCACUACACAUUUUGUGUUUGUGGGACACAUUUAGAACAAGAGGUAAAGAAUGGUAUAAAGUGAGUGAGAGAGUGAUGUGUGUGUGUGUGUGUGUGUGUGUUUCUGAAUUGGUAUACAUUGAGGAACGCUGAGGAACUCUGUAAUGUGGAUUCCUGUUUGCUGAAGAACACUUGAAGAGGAGCAGUCGACUGGACCGGACUCUAUAACAUAAGGAAACAACUGAUCUCAGCCUGUACAUACUGCACAGUGCAUACUGCACAGUACAUACUCAACAGUACAUACUGCACAGUACAUACUCAACAGUACAUACUCAACAGAGCAUACUGCACAGUACAUACUCAACAGAGCAUACGGCACAGUACAUACUCAGCAGUACAUACUCAACAGAGCAUACGGCACAGUACAUACUCAACAGUACAUACUCAACAAAGCAUACUCAACAGAGCAUACUCAACAGUACAUACUGCACAGUACAUACUCAACAGUACAUACUCAACAAAGCAUACUCAACAGAGCAUACUCAACAGUCCAUACUGCACAGUACAUACUCAACAGUACAUACUCAAUAAAGCAUACUGCACAGUACAUACUCAACAAAGCAUACUCAACAGCAUAUUCAACAGUAUAUACUACACAGUACAUACGGCACAGAGCAUACUCAACAGUACAUACUGCACAGAGUAUACUCAACAGUACAUACUGCACAGUACAUACGGCACAGAGCAUAAUCAACAGUACAUACUACACAGUACAUUUCUGCACAGUACAUACUGCACAGAGCAUACUCAACAGUACAUACUGCACAGAGCAUACUCAACAGUAUACUGCACAGUACAUUUCUGCACAGUACAUACUGCACAGAGCAUACCCCAUAGAGCACACUUCAGACAUGACCUGUGCAUACUCUGCAGACAUUCGAAACAUGCCGUCCUGCUUUGCAUCCAUUCUGCUGAAGUCAUGAUUGCACUUAUAUAAUAGUUUACAUGCUUGAUGUAUUAAUUAAUUUAUUUGAUUUAUUUGUUAUUAAUUGUUAGAAAAAAGUGUGUAUGUGUAAGAGAAAAGAAAUGAGAUGGAUUCUUUCCUAUUGCCUAUGAAGUGGAGAGGGCGCGUGGUCAUGCUUUGACCGAUUAUACUUGUAUGCUGUCUCCAGUCUGAUGUGUUUCUGCUUGUUUGUGUGUGUGUGUGUGCGCGUGUAUGCCUCACUGACUUGUCUGUCCAGACCCCCCUGUAGCCCUCUCCCACACACACACACACACACACACACACAGACACACACUCGCUGUAGCCACACUGUCCUGAUUUAGCACGUGUGUAUGGAGUGUGACUGGCUGGCCUGCUCCCGCUGUACUGUGCUGUGCGUGCGUACUCUGAGACACACACAAGCAGCCUGUUGUCUGUGCUCGCCUGCUUGUCUUCAUAAAAGCCCUUGACAUUGGCAA